GACGAACGCUGGCGGCGUGCUUAACACAUGCAAGUCGAACGGAAAGGCCCCUUUGGGGGUACUCGAGUGGCGAACGGGUGAGUAACACGUGAGUAACCUGCCCUUGACUUCGGGAUAACUUCAGGAAACUGGGGCUAAUACCGGAUAGGAAUCCUUGCUGCAUGGUGGGGGUUGGAAAGCUUCGGCGGUUUUGGAUGGACUCGCGGCUUAUCAGCUUGUUGGUGGGGUAGUGGCUUACCAAGGCUUUGACGGGUAGCCGGCCUGAGAGGGCGACCGGCCACAUUGGGACUGAGAUACGGCCCAGACGCCUACGGGAGGCAGCAGUGGGGAAUAUUGCACAAUGGGCGGAAGCCGGAUGCAGCAACGCCGCGUGCGGGAGGACGGCCUUCGGGUUGGAAACCGCUUUCAGCAGGGGCGAAGCUUGUGGUGACGGUACCUGCAGAAGAAGCACCGGCUAACUACGUG
rnacentral:rRNA from 1 species